GAUACCUGGCGAUGACAGAAAUGCUACUUGCACGGUUUUGAAUUAUGCAACAUACGGACUACGGAAGCAACCCCGAAACUUUGCUUAGUUUGCGUCUCGGGGCUCUGGCGCUAAGAGGCCGUAUUUGUAGAAGUUUUAAGAGCGUUUGAGGAAAAAAAUCACUGAAAUUCACCGACGCCAUGAAGAAAGGAAUGUCCAACGCAAAUACUACUUGGACAGACAAAAACAAAUCAGCUUGUAAAAACUGGCAACGGCUCCUCUGUAUGCAUAUGUCCUUCUGUACAGUCAAAUGCGAGGAUGGAACACGAAAAGCAGAUAAUCAUGGAGAGCACCGAAGGAUUGAGGAACCGGCCCGCUGCACAUUCCGUGUACACCGGUGUAGGCGAAGAUGAAAACGAAGAAAACGUGGAAGAAUUAAGGGAGAGACUCAAACAAAUGAAAGCCAUAGUCAACGAAAGAAGCAAUAAUCGGAAGUCGGGUGAGUUCAUGUCAAGCAUGCCUGGGAAACGGGGAAAUGAAGAGUAGAGCGAAGUUUGGUGCAAUAUGGGAACAAUACUGCAUCCAGUCUUCCUCUCCAACACCGUAAUGAGUGGGUGACUAAGAUCUAGGCGUCUGCCAUAUGAUCUCAGAGCCGGGCCUUAAAUCCCUUUGGGUUUGAGUCCCACAACCUGAAUCUUUGAUCUACAUCUGGGCCAUGAUGGAAAACUACUUCAAGGAAAGAAAAUAACGGAAUUGAAAACUACAUCUUCUUUCCAUCCUACAGACUGGAUGAAGGAUUCUUGAGUGUUGUGUUUGCCUGCAUCCUCCUUGUAAUCGCAGGUGUUACAGUGUAUGCAUUCGUAGUUCUUUACACUGCUGUUCACAAACGUUGGACAGAACAACCAGAGGACUAAGACUGAUAAGAUGAUGUUUAUUCCUUCAAAUAACAAAUACUCAUGAAUUCUCAAUUUGGGAGCACAAAGUUUCAUGAUUUUCAUGGUUGUUGACAUUAUCAUUAGUACAUUCUUGCAUCUAUCACAAAACAGCAGGAUUCCAUAUCUUUUAGUACUACAUCUUAGAGUUGUCACUACUGAAUGAUGAGGACAGAACAGGAAUUGGACAAAAAGGAGUGACAGAAAAUGUAAUGUAACAAAUGCCACUGAACUUGGUCCCCUGGCCUGCUAGGUGCAAAAAAAAAAUAAUAAAACAAAAAUAAGUGUAUGUCCUGUUGGUACAAUAUUUUGUUGUCAUUGACUAAAAAGAAUAACAUUGAAUAAGACAAUAUAAUAGUAUUAGGGUAUCAACAUUUGUAACUGUUUUCAUGGCUAACUUUUAGCGCCCCAAAAUACUAAUAAACAAAAUUCAAAUCAAAACUGGUUAUAUAGGUGACGAGUCUCUUUCUCAUUUUUUCUUCAUAUAUUUUUGUUUGUGAAUAUUUAUUUCAAGCACAAGUUUUACCUUCACAUGAAAAAGUAAACCUCUUUAGGUAACAAGGGAAUAAUAAAAAAAACAACUAUUACACACAUCAUAGGGCUGUUGUUGGCUGAGACUCAAAAGCAAUCACAAAUAAUUUCAUAUAAUUUUUAUUUAUAGAAUGUCAACAGCCUCUUCUUGUAUCUAGUGUGAAUUAGCAUAUAUAUAUUUAUACUCAAAUGUAAUCUUGUAACUAAGCCAUGCAGUUUUUUUAAAUGAUUCUUCCUAGACUCCCAAUUUUCUUUGAAUGUUUAGAGUAAAAGAUGACAACAUUUCCUAGUUGUGGAAGAAUGUAAAUGAAUUAGUUUUGACUCAAAAAAUGGCUGUGCAGCAGGUGAAAAGCUGAAAAUUAGGUUCCAGUGUUAUUUAAUAUGUGGGCAUUUGUGCUUUCAUAUUUAAUAAACAAGAGCAGUAUUUCUGAUACAGCUUUA